rnacentral:tRNA from 1 species
AGAAAGUGGCGGAGUGGCCACGCGGUUGGCUUGAAACCAUCCAACGGGGGUUCGAUUCCUCCCUUUCUC